rnacentral:lncRNA from 1 species
GCCCUAUGACCAUGCCUCAGGACUACCUGGCCUGAUUACUCCUUGCUGUCCCAAGUCCACCUGGUCAUGCUGCUGCUCCAGUUUCAACUGUUCUGCCUGCGGCUAUGGUACCCUGACCUCUUCGCCGGACGUGCUACCUGUCCCAGACCUGCUGUUUUCAACUCUCUAGAGACAGCAGGAGCGGUAGAGAUACUCUGAAUGAUCGGCUAUGAAAAGCCAACUGACAUUUAUUCCUGAGGCAACCUCAUAAGAUCCCCAACACAAUAUCCCAGGAGUCUUGGGACAAAGCCUACCCGCCGGGCGAGGAGAACCCGCGCUACUCCAGCUACCAGGACUCCAGGAACGGCUACCUGCAUGGUGGGGCCAGUAGCUUCAAUGCCCGCAUCCUGCUGGAGACCCAGGAGCAGCUGAGGCAGGAGCAGAGAUGCAGGGAGCAGUCUGAGGCCAAGAUGAGGCUACCGCCACAACAGGAGGAGGUCUCCAGUAACCAUACCGGCUACGAUAACAUUCACCCGUUCCUAACCCCAACCCUUGUCCAGGCCCCAGCCCUGCCCCAAGCCGCUGUCGCAGCCCCAGUCCCACCCAAAAGCCCGUACCGCCAGGAUGUGCACCCCUCUCUGUCUCAGCUGGCAAGGCUCAACAGGCUGCAGGGCUCAGAGAAAGAACGGACAUUUUACUGAUGAGGUGAUGACCACUCAACUCCACUACCAUUGUCAACUCUCUCCUGACAUGAACUGAAGCCACGUCUCAUGUGCCCGCUCAUCCACCGGCACAUUGAAUGUUUCCUCUCCAAGCACUUCAAAUCCUGUCCUGCACUAAAGUCAAGCCUCUGAACACCUCAGAUCAUGCAUCAUACAUGCAUCAUGCAUUCAAUCACUGCUGUGAUCCCUUCCCAACACUGGUUCUGUGAGCUGCUGUCAGCACAAGCUGACAUAAAGAGCACAGGAUUAACCAGCAUGUCUAAACUGUGGGAUCACCAUGGAAGUGUGUGUGCGCCAAUCAAACAGUUCCCACUGGUUCUCAAUCUCCCAGCUGUGGCCUCAGGCGAGCAAGCGAGCGAGAGAGAGAGAGAAACCUAGGAGUCACAGACUCCAUGUUCUUAUUCAGAAUAACCCCCAGCACUGUUCAUUUCCCAUUACCCACCAGCCCCUCUUUGCCUAAUACCCUUUGCAGCACACCAAAAUACAGGUCAGAGGUCACUUAUGAUUUAAGUCUUUGUUUCCGUGCGCGUCAUCUCUGUUCAACGCAGUGAUGUUAUUGUCUUAGAGCAUAGUUCAAUUCCCCUUGGUGUGGUUGUGGUUCAUUUAACCAUCACACGUGGCGCACUAGUCGGUAAAACCCUCUCUCUCCUCUCACACACAUAAACAUCAAAACUGCUCACACACAACACAGAUUAUAUAUAUUUUUUUUAUCAGAGCAGUAACAGCUCCCAAGGCUAAUGCUAUCUGUGACUGCAAGGCAGCCAAGGUAACACUACUGUAUACCUCGUUCAGACAAUAUAGAGAAAAACAGGGUUGGGUAAGUGCAAUUUAUUCUAAGGGAAUACAACAGAGAAGAAUAGAGAGGGAGCAUGAAGUUAACUGUUCCUUUGAGGCCAGACUGACCCUACCUCGCCUCCAGCAGUUGUUCCUACAGCUGUAAAGUGACAGUAAUCAAUACUGAUUAUUAAACUGGG